rnacentral:rRNA from 1 species
GAGUUUGAUCGUGGCUCAGAACGAACGUUAGCGGCGCGCUUAACACAUGCAAGUCGAACGAGAAAGGGCUUCGGCCCCGGUACAGUGGCGCACGGGUGAGUAACACGUAGGUAAUCUUCCCUCGAGCGGGGGAUAACCUUCCGAAAGGAGGGCUAAUACCGCAUAAGACCACGGGUUCGAAAGGACCUGAGGUCAAAGCCGGCCUCUAUACAUAAGCUGGCACUCGAGGAUGAGCCUGCGGCCCAUCAGCUAGUUGGUAGGGUAAUGGCCUACCAAGGCGAAGACGGGUAGCUGGUCUGAGAGGAUGAUCAGCCACACUGGAACUGAGACACGGUCCAGACUCCUACGGGAGGCAGCAGUGGGGAAUCUUGCGCAAUGGGCGAAAGCCUGACGCAGCGACGCCGCGUGAGUGAUGAAGGCCUCGGUUGUAAGUACGUCUGUGUAGGGUAGGACGGAAGUAAAGUAGUUAGGU